GUAGACUAGAGUAUGGCAGGGGUAGAGGGAAUUUCUAGUGUAGCGGUGAAAUGCGUAGAUAUUAGAAAGAACACCAGUGGCGAAAGCGCUCUACUAGACCAUUACUGACACUCAGAGGCGAAAGCUAGGGUAGCAAAAGGGAUUAGAUACCCCUGUAGUCCUAGCCGUAAACGAUGGAUACUAGAUGUUGUGCUUAGUACAGUAUCGUAGCUAACGCGUUAAGUAUCCCGCCUGGGGAGUACGCUCGCAAGGGUGAAACUCAAAGGAAUUGACGGGGGCCCGCACAAGCGGUGGAGCAUGUGGUUUAAUUCGAUGCAACGCGAAGAACCUUACCAGGGCUUGACAUACUACAAAUUCUUUUGAGAAAGAGAAGUGCCUUCGGGAAUGUAGAUACAGGUGGUGCAUGGCUGUCGUCAGCUCGUGUCGUGAGAUGUUGGGUUAAGUCCCGCAACGAGCGCAACCCUUAUUUUUAGUUACCAAUUCGUUGGGUUUUUUAGAAAGACUGCCGGUGACAAACCGGAGGAAGGUGAGGAUGACGUCAAGUCAGCAUGCCCCUUAUGUCCUGGGCUACACACGUGCUACAAUGGUUAAGACAAAGAGUCGCAAGCUCGCGAGAGUUAGCUAAUCUAUUAAACUUAGCCUAAGUUCAGAUUGUAGGCUGCAACUCGCCUACAUGAAGUUGGAAUCGCUAGUAAUCGCUGGUCAGCCAUACAGCGGUGAAUCCGUUCCCGGGCCUUGUACACACCGCCCGUCACACCAUGGGAGCUGGUCAUACCCGAAACCGUUUGCUUAACCAUCUGGAGAGCGGCGUCUAAGGUAGGGCUAGUGACUGGGGUGAAGUCGUAACAAGGUAGCCGUA
rnacentral:rRNA from 1 species